UGGGUGAAUGAUAAAAUUGUAUUUGGAACCAAGGAUUAUGAAUAAUCAAAUUCUGUGUAUUUGAGCUCUAAA
rnacentral:snoRNA from 1 species